rnacentral:lncRNA from 1 species
CAAAUAAAGACAUGUUUUCUUAUUAAUUCUUGAAUUGCUUCUUUCAUUUUGCAAAUUUAAGUUAAUGCAUUGACAAGAAGAACAGUGUUACUUGAAACAGAAACAGAUAUGAACUGGCUAACCAGAUGCAAGAUGCUAAAUAGCAGUCAUCCUUGGACUAAUUGUCUAAGCUUUGCUAUUGCAUAUUUUAUGGAGCCAAGAAGAAAGUACUGAGUUUUCCUACCUCAGUGUUCUAUUAAAUGUAUUUCCAGAAUAAGCACCACUUUAUGUUUUGGAGUUUAAAACAGGGCAUGAUAGGACAGUACUAAACAUCCUCUGAACAACUUGUGAGCAGUGAAAUUAAGUUUUUUGCAAAGUUGUCUUUGGGGUCAAGGCAAAUGAAUUGAUCUGAAACUAAUGGAAGCUUGGCUUAAGUCCUAGAACAUCAACCUGAAUGGCUUGGAGGUGUCACUUUAAGCAGAUCACUUAGGUAUUUUGUACUUGAAUCUCUCCAUUUGUACAAGACAAAUAUUAUAUACUUGCUAUGUCUACUUAAAUUCCAAGAGGGCUCUAGAUACUUGUAAGAUUUCUUUUAUUUUUAAGGCAUUCCAGAAGAAAAUCAAAUAUGUAGGAAAUAAGUGUAAUUUCUUCAUGUCAUAUUCUAUAUAAAUUUGAAAUAUUCCUACCCUUAUGUUGACCAAUCCCAUUCUCGGGAAUAUAUCUUCAGGGAUAUCCAAAAGAAAAAACAAGUUAUGGUCAAAGAAAAAGGAUGCUCUUUUAUGUAUUAUAUAAAAGCAAUCAAAUUGCCCCAAAUAUAUAAUAUGAAAAAUUAUAUAUUUGAUUAUAUAAAUAAAAUUAAUGACUUUAGUUGAUGAACACUUUCAGUAAAAGAUAAUGAAAUCUAUGUGGCACCAUUGAACAUUACAGUGUUACAUGGAGUAAAAACCCUUUUACUAGUUUCCAAAUAUGUUUUCCCUAAUGAUGAAUACUGGAUGAGAAAUGCAAAAUUUAAAAUGAGUGAUGUGUUGGGGCAAAGGUCUGAAUGAUAUAUAUUUUUGUGAUUCUUACACAUCCUGUAAUGUUACAUAGUGUUUUAAAGCUUUAAAAAUAUUUAAAUGAACAUUUUAUAAGGAAGGAAAUAAUGAUUCAUGCCCAAAUUUUUUGCUCUUGUCAGCCUGUUUUUCCCCUUUUCCAUUCCCUAGGCUCAGCCAACACCAUGAUCUUCCCUGGAAGCUCUCUCUAUAAUUCACAGGGCUGUUUAAAGGUUUAUCAUUCACAGUGUUCUGAUAGUGAAAGAACUCUACAGGGGCCUGCAGGAUCUGUCUAGCUGUCUUCUCUCCUGGCUGCCCUUGGGUCAUCCAUACCACUGGCUGUAAAAUGCCAACAAGAAAAUUAAUGGACCAUCCGCCUACACCCUGACUCUUUCCUAAGGGAGUUUGCCUCCAGGGAGUGACUAAAAGGGCAGAAAGAAUGUUCAGACAUCUCAUGGGAAUGGAAAGACAUGAAGACAGCUGGUGGAUUUGGCAAACCCACAUCCCAGCAGAAACCUGCCAUUCAGAAAUAACGUGACCCAAUUCUCUAUGAAUAUGUAUUCUAUUGGGCUGAAAGUGGAGGGAACAUCUCUGUGAAUGCAGCUGCUUUAAAAAGAGUGAGCCAGGAGUUCCUGUUGUGCUGCAGUAGAAACGAGUCCAACAGUAACAAUGAGGUUUUGGGUUCGAUCCCUGGCCUAACUCAGUGGUUAAGGAUCUGGCAUUGCCAUGAGCUGUGGUGUAGGUUGUAGGCACGGCUGGGAUCCUGUGUUGCUGUUGCUGUGGCUGUGGCCUAGGCCAGCAGCUGUAGCUCUGAUUUCACGCCUCAGCCUGGGAACCUCCAUAUGCCAUGGGUGAGGCCCUAGAAAGAAAAAAAAAAGAGAGUGAGCCAGACAUUGUGUUCAGAACUUUGCAUGCUUAUCUCAUUUAAUUCUCACAACCCAGGAGAAAGAAAGCAUAAUUUCCAUUUUAUCAAUGAGGAGAGUGGGACCCUGAAAGAUUUAAUGUCUUUCGCAGUAAGACUCUCACCCAAUCUUACUUCAACACUUCAACCUUCUACACUUUCAUUUAGCCUGUGAACACAGAGUAAUCAGGAUUACUUGGAAAAUACAGCAAAACAAACAAAACUAAACACCUUUUUCCUCCAUACCAGGAGAUUCACAGUCAUGCUAUUGGAUCAAUGGUCCAGGGCCUUCAUAUUACUUUCACCUCAAUUUGUCACUUAAGACCCUUUAAGACUACAAGCUUUCCAAGGUGAAAAUAUAUAUAUAAAGUAUACAAGCUUUCCUAAACAAACUUGCAAAUGCUGACAUCCCAUUUUGCUUUUUUAAAUACCUUAAGUAACACCCCUGAGGUGAAGGAAAGCAUAUCAUGUGUAUGACCUCAUCUUUGGAUAUUUUAUCGUGUGAUGCUACUAUGUCUUUGAGCAUGUGUGAGUGGUAAAUAUUUAUAAUGAUAAGUUUAGCCUAUGACCCAAUGUCCCAUAUGUAUGCUUGGUUAUUACUUGCCUUCUUAAAAACACAUACAAUUAAUUUAUAUUUCAAUAUCUGGACAUUCAUUUUGUUUUAACAUCUCUUACUAUCUAGACCAGACUGCUCUGGUAAGGUGGGAAGAGUUUAGGUAGAUUAUAUAUGUGAUGAAAUGGUAAAGAUAAAUUGCACAGGGAAAUCUACUCAAUACUCUGUAAUAACCUAUAUGGGGAAAGAAUCUGAUAAAGAAUGGGCAUAUGUAUAACAGAUUCAUUUUGCUAUACAAGUGAAACUAAUGCAACAUUGUAAAUCAACUAUAUUCCAAAUUUUUUAAAUUAAUUAAUUAAUUUAAAAAGAACUCCAGUGGCUAAUAUCUGGCAGGCAUGGUUCUGGAUCAUUAUGUAUUUAUUUCAGUCUUUACAACCAACCUUCAAGAUUUAGUAGCAAGUGUUAUUUUCAUUUGUACUUUUGAGAAGACAAAGGUUCAGUAAUUUUCCCAACAAGAUUACACUACUGGUGAAUUGUUAGAGCCAAGAUUCUGAAAUAGAUUUUCUAAAGUUUUUUUUUACAAAUGGCACCAAUAUUCCUUAUAUUCCCCAGAACCAAGCACAGUAAUACUGCCAGGACUGACCUCCCUUGCUGGCCUUGUUAUGGUAUAUGGCUUCUUGGUUGUAAGCAGCAGAAACUGAUCAAUUAAAUGUAUUUUAAAGAAUAUUACAGAUGAGACAUGAGAAAACAGUAGAAACAAGUACAACUCCUAAAACCAUAGCUAAAAUCAUGCCAUAGAACAGUUAAAAGAUAUAAAAAUAUCUUUGCUGCAACCAUUAAACACUUGAUGCCACAGCUUAUACUGCCACCAUCUGCCACCAUCUACCAUCACCACUGGCACUGGCUGCUCAACACCAGACACUACCUGCCUUUGCCCAUGGUCACUGCUGUCCUGGAAACUUGAGUAGCUGCCUCUUCCACUUAGCCUUCCAUCAACAUGGGUUCUUUAACACCUCUGUUCUUUGCCUGGCAUUUCCUAAUUCAAAGUUAAAGUGGGGUCAGGAGUCUGAUUAGGUGAGCCCACAUCCCAUGCCUACAUUUUAGUCACAAAAGAUACUGCAAAAUCAAGUAUCGGAUAUUCUCAGCUUCUAUUAUUAUUAAUAGACUGUCACUGCCUUUCACCAAAAGUCAAAAAUGCUCUCGUGCCAUUAGCAAUAGGAGAGGACAGCUCCCCAACACUCCCACUGUUCCUGGUAAAUGUCAAUUAUACAUCUUAGUUUCAGUUUCUCAUUCUCUUGGCUUCAGAAUUUAAAAGUUUCCUUUUAAAAUAUAAAGACUAUCACCUAAGGAGGACAAACAAUGCUAUCAAGAGGCCAGCCCCUUAGAUCCUUUUAAUUUAUAUGAUCAUUUCAAGUAAUAAUCAAAAUUCUAAAAAGAUGAGGUAUAAAAAAAUAUUACUUUGGUUUAGGUUCAAGGGUAUGGAAAGAGUACAGAAAAAGAAAAAUGUAUAGAAGAAAGAAAAACUAUUUUUCAAUUGUUACUGUUAUUCAAUUGUCUGAUUUGCAGAACUGGGAGGUAAAGCUAGGAAAAGUGACUGAAAGGGAAAACAAAGAAGCAGUGUGGCUAGAAUGUUACUUAAUGAAGAAAUGGUCCUGCAUUCAUUCAUUCUUUGGUCCAAUAAAUACUUUUUAGUGUCUUAGUGCCACAGUAUUAAUAUUGGGGAUGGAAAAAUGUGUAAAUCUACUCAACUUUUGUUCACUGUGUUUGUUUUCUUUAUGUAUAGGGUGCUCAGCAGCUCACAGAUAUUGCCCCGAGAGGGGUUAAUUCUCAGGAAACAAAACAUGAUCAUUUUCUUCUAAAAUAUCUACCUGGCACAAAAUGAAACUAGAUUUCACUGGUUCAGCCUGUGUUUAAUAUUCUGAAAUCAUAAUUUGAGGCAUAAAUUCUGCUCCUUUCAAGUGAUUGCUAUCUGGGGAUUCUCAUAGCAGACUUGAGUUUGGGAGUACUCGGAUCCUUUCUGGCUGUCACUGGCUUGUUUAAGUGACCCUGAGCAAAUGAGUUAAGCAUCUCUGGGACUUGGUUUCUUCAUCUCUCAAAGAUGGAUAAAAAUACCAGCCACCUGUUGUGAAGAUCAGGGAGCUAAUAUGUCUCAGAAGCUUUCAAAGCUCUGGCUCUAAGCCUUUUGCUAUCUAUGCAUAAGAACAAAGACAAGUCCUCACUGCUUUUACCCAAAUGCUGCAUUCAAAGGAAUGAAAAAAUACAAUAUUUGAGCUCUAUAAGACUUGAAGUUUAUUUUGUAUUAGUUUGAAUUUCAAGCUGUUUUUCUCUGUUGUACUCUUGGCACUGCCAUUUUUUAAGUACAGCACUUCAUUUGCAUAGUAAUUACAAAGUUUAACAAAUAGCAUUAAUGUCUGAAAGAAAGAGGUACACUCUAUUUAAAUUACUGACAGUAUUGCAUUACACAUUUUUAACCG